rnacentral:rRNA from 1 species
AAGUCGAGGGGCAGCGGGAGUGCUUGCACUCGCCGGCGACCGGCGCACGGGUGCGGAACGCGUAUGGAAUCUACCUCUUUCUGGGGAAUAGCCCAUGGAAACGUGGAUUAAUACCCCAUAGUAUUCAGAAAUCGCAUGAUUUUUGAAUUAAAGCUUUGGCGGAAAGAGAUGACCAUGCGUAUCAUUAGCUAGUAGGUGAGGUAACGGCUCACCUAGGCUACGAUGAUUAGGGGUCCUGAGAGGGAGAUCCCCCACACUGGUACUGAGACACGGACCAGACUCCUACGGGAGGCAGCAGUGAGGAAUAUUGGACAAUGGUCGAAAGACUGAUCCAGCCAUGCCGCGUGCAGGAUGAAUGCCCUAUGGGUUGUAAACUGCUUUUAUACGGGAAGAACACCACCCACGUGUGGGUGACUGACGGUACCGUAAGAAUAAGGACCGGCUAACUCCGUGCCAGCAGCCGCGGUAAUACGGAGGGUCCAAGCGUUAUCCGGAAUCAUUGGGUUUAAAGGGUCCGUAGGCGGGCUAUUAAGUCAGAGGUGAAAGUUUGCAGCUCAACUGUAAAAUUGCCUUUGAUACUGGUAGUCUUGAGUUAUAGUGAAGUGGUUAGAAUAUGUGGUGUAGCGGUGAAAUGCAUAGAUAUCACAUAGAAUACCAAUUGCGAAGGCAGAUCACUAACUAUAUACUGACGCUGAUGGACGAAAGCGUGGGGAGCGAACGGGAUUAGAUACCCCGGUAGUCCACGCCGUAAACGAUGGAUACUAGCUGUUGGAUUUUUUCAGUGGCUAAGCGAAAGUGAUAAGU